UACAGAGGGUGCGAGCGUUGUUCGGAAUUAUUGGGCGUAAAGGGCGCGUAGGCGGUGCGGUAAGUCACCUGUGAAAUCUCCUGGCUCAACUGGGAGCUUGCAGGCGAAACUGCCGUGCUGGAGUGUGGGAGAGGUGCGUGGAAUUCCCGGUGUAGCGGUGAAAUGCGUAGAUAUCAGGAGGAACACCGGUGGUGUAGACGGCUUUCUGGACCGACACUGACGCUGAGACACGAAAGCGUGGGUAGCAAACAGG
rnacentral:rRNA from 1 species